rnacentral:rRNA from 1 species
UACGAAGGGGGCUAGCGUUGCUCGGAAUCACUGGGCGUAAAGCGCACGUAGGCGGACUCUUAAGUCGGUGGUGAAAUCCUGGAGCUCAACUCCAGAACUGCCUUCGAUACUGAGAGUCUCGAGUCCGAGAGAGGUGAGUGGAACUGCGAGUGUAGAGGUGAAAUUCGUAGAUAUUCGCAAGAACACCAGUGGCGAAGGCAGCUCACUGGCCCGGUACUGACGCUGAGGUGCGAAAGCGUGGGGAGCAAACAGG